AUGGCUUGCAUCCUCCUCUGCUUCCGCAUGUUGACUGCCUUGGUCGUUGGCGCUGCUUUUCUUGAGUCGGCUUCUCAUUGUGAUGUUGCUCAUACCAAAUGGAACCUUGCGAUGGUAGAGGAGAUUGCUGCUCUUGAGCGCAUUGGCACGUUGGAUAUUAUUUAUGUUCCUCCUCGUGUUCGUCUCAUCACCUGGUGGGUCUACAAGAUUAAGACUCGCUAUGAUGGUUCUCUUGAGGGUUACAAAGUUCGUAAUGUGGCUCGUGGCUUUCAGCAGAAGCAUGGUGCUGAUUACGAUGAGACUUUUUGCUCCUGCAAACCAUAUGAUCUCUGUUCGCCACUAGUUUGCGUCCCGAAUUGA
rnacentral:rRNA from 1 species